UUAGUUGACCUCUAGGGAAAAUGCACUUCUGACAUCUCGAUCAAUCCAGCCUUGCAAUUUUAGCUCUGGCAUGAGAGAAACCAAGGGAAGCUCCAAUGCCACAGCACAGGCUGAGCUCUCACACAGAAUCUGUCCCCUGAGAGAAGAUGGAUGGAUUCUGACCUGCUUGUGUGAUUUCUGCAGCAGCCUUGUUUUCCACAAGGUGACCGGUCCCAGCAUAGGAGAGAGAUGCAAAUGCAGCAGCCAAGCAGCAUGGGGAGAGACACACAGGAAGAGAAUGGAGGAGGAAUAGGAGGAUGAUGGUGCACGAAGCCAUUUUUAAACAGGACAAGACUUCACAGAGAAGUGUGAUUCAGUGGAGCAGGCUGAAAUGAGUGAAGAGCAGAGAAGGAGCAAGACUUCCACUGUGUCACCUGCAGAGCCUCCAUGGGUUGCAAGACUCCAAAGAGCUGCAACAUGAAGUUUCAUGGCAUCCUGAACUUACUGUGGGUCAAAGCUCACAUAAGAAGAUUUGCUCAGCUAUUGGCUCCAAAUGAACCCUCAUUGGAAUGGGCUGGAUGGAGAAGGAACUUCGAGGAAUUGCCCAAGAAAUCUGAAAUGAUGGUUUUGAAAAUAAAUGUGGUGAAAUAUUC